UACGUAGGGUGCGAGCGUUGUCCGGAAUUACUGGGCGUAAAGAGCUCGUAGGUGGUUUGUCGCGUUGUCCGUGAAAACUCACAGCUUAACUGUGGGCGUGCGGGCGAUACGGGCAGACUGGAGUACUGCAGGGGAGACUGGAAUUCCUGGUGUAGCGGUGGAAUGCGCAGAUAUCAGGAGGAACAUCGGUGGCGAAGGCGGGUCUCUGGGCAGUAACUGACGCUGAGGAGCGAAAGCGUGGGGAGCGAACAGG
rnacentral:rRNA from 1 species